GCUCCGGUGGCAUAGCGGUUAGAGCGUCCGCCUCGGAUGUGGGAGGUCUUGGCAUUGAAUCCCGACUGAGUCA